rnacentral:rRNA from 1 species
AUUGAACGCUGGCGGCAGGCCUAACACAUGCAAGUCGAGCGGAGCGGCGGACGGGUGAGUAAUGCCUAGGAAUCUGCCUGGUAGUGGGGGAUAACGUCCGGAAACGGGCGCUAAUACCGCAUAUUAUUCGAGGGGCCGAUAACUGAUUAGCUAGUUGGUGGGGUAAAGUCCUACCAAGGCGACGAUCAGUAACUGGCCUGAGAGGAUGAGCAGUCACACUGGAACUGAGACACGGUCCAGACUCCUACGGGAGGCAGCAGUGGGGAAUAUUGGACAAUGGGCGAAAGCCUGAUCCAGCCAUGCCGCGUGUGUGAAGAAGGUCUUCGGAUUGUAAAGCACUUUAAGUUGGGAGGCGUUACCAACAGAAUAAGCACCGGCUAACUUCGUGCCAGCAGCCGCGGUAAUAC